rnacentral:misc_RNA from 1 species
GGAUUACAUUCGUAAAAGCAGGGUAUGUGGAAACUUCAUAAUCUUGAUACUAAUUUUUGAAUUGUUUUCCCCUUGAUGCCCAAUUGCCCGUGAAUAAAUUUGAACUUCUAACUUUUCUAGGCUAUUCUCCCUCUUGUGAUAAAAUUUUAUGGCGUAAUAUAGAAUGAAGUCCAGUAAAACAUCCAUCAUUCUUGAGCUUGAUAUUGGGUUAAUUGAUUUUUGAAGCUAUAUGUGGUCAGUUCUAGCAUGACAUAUAGAUAAUUCAACUGAAUCCUGACAGCUAGGUAUUU